rnacentral:rRNA from 1 species
UUGGACAUGGGCGCAAGCCUGAUCCAGCCAUGCCGCGUGUGUGAAGAAGGCCUUCGGGUUGUAAAGCACUUUCAGUAGGGAGGAAGAGUUAAGUGUUAAUAGUACUUAACUUUGACGUUACCUACAGAAGAAGCACCGGCUAACUCUGUGCCAGCAGCCGCGGUAAU